rnacentral:rRNA from 1 species
AUUGAACGCUGGCGGCAUGCCUUACACAUGCAAGUCGAACGGUAACGGGCCUUCGGGUGCCGACGAGUGGCGUACGGGUGAGUAAUACAUCGGAACGUGCCCGAUCGUGGGGGAUAACGAGGCGAAAGCUUUGCUAAUACCGCAUACGCUCUACGGAUGCAAGCAGGGGACCGCCAGGCCUUGCGCGGCCGGAGCGGCCGAUGGCAGAUUAGGUAGUUGGUGGGAUAAAAGCUUACCAAGCCGACGAUCUGUAGCUGGUCUGAGAGGAUGGUCAGACACACUGGGACUGAGACAGGGCCCACACUCCGACAGGGGGCAGCAGUGGGGACUUUUGGAGGAGGGGCGAGAGGCGAAUCCAGCAAAGCCGCGGGAAGGAUGAAGGACUUCUGGUGGGUAACUGCUGUUGGACGGAACGAAGUACCUUCUUUUAAUACAGGAGGGUCAUGACAGUACCGGAAGAAUAAGCACCGGCUAACUACGUG